CCUUCCUAAUGUCAAUAAAAUGGUCUAGUCAUACACAAAUAUCAAGGUAAAAAUGUGUCCCAGUACUGAAGGGGCUAAGUGUUCAUUUCUUUGUUUGGGAAAUUUAAGUGGUCUUCCAAAUAUAAAUGAACAAUAACUAACUUCUUAUUCCUUCCUGUCAUCUUUUCAAGCACACUGUUCUUUGUUGUUGCUUGUCCUUGUUCCAUUCUAUCUUCCUAUCACACUGCCAGCCAUAACUUGUGACUUCUUCUGUCAAUAUAGAGUUACAAAGCUUUCUACAUAUUUUCACAAGCCUGUCACUCUUUUCCUUUCUCUAGCAAAUACAUACAGCAUCUAUUUUGUUCAGCCCAGUGUGUGUCUUGUGUGAAUAUAGAGUGACAAAGCUUUAUUCAUAUCUCUACAACCUGUCACUCUUUUCUUUCUCUAACAAAUACAUAAAGCAUCUAUUUUGUUCAGUCGAGUGUGUGUCUUGUGUGAAUAGUGUGACAAAGCCUUCCUAUUUGUACAAACCUGUCAUUCUUUCCUUUCUCAGACAAAUUAUAUACUAUUUUGUUCAUCCCAGUGUGUGUGUGUGUGUGUGUGUGUGUGUGUGUGUGUGUGUGUGUGUGUGUGUGUGUGUGUGUGUGUGUGUGUGUGUGUAUGUGUGUGUGUGUGUGUGUGUGUGUGUGUGUGCGGUAAAAGACAACAUACAAGUGAUUUAACAAAAGUGCUAUGUGGCAACAAUAUAUUAGACUGCAGGUUGUAUUGAUUAACAUGUUAGGAAGAGUUUCACUGAUAAUAUUUGACAUUUUUACACUUAGGGAGAAAUAAGAAGCAGUAUUAGUGUGUAUGAGAGAGAGAGAGAGAGAAUAUGAAAAAAAAAAAUAAAUAUGACGUUUUUA